AAUCAUUUUCAAUAAGUCUUUGGGUUCCAUUCCAACUAGCCCAUUUCCCCUGCAAAUUCCAGCCGAGAACUCACAGCUUCAGGUCAUUCCAGAAAGAUGAAGAUAUAUAGUAUCUUUACAUUCAUGGCUUACUGUUGUUUGCUGAAAGCAUUUACCGUCACAGUUCCCAAGGACCUGUAUGUGGUAGAGUAUGGCAGCAAUGUGACAUUGGAAUGCAUAUUUCCAGUAGACAAACAAUUAAACCUGUUGGCAUUAGUUGUUUACUGGGAAAUGGAGGAUAAGAAAAUUAUUCAGUUUGUGAAUGGGGAGGAAGACCUGAAUGUUCAGCACAGUAGCUACAACCAGAGGGCCCUGCUGUUGAAGGACCAGCUCUCCUUGGGAAAGGCCGCACUUCAGAUAACAGAUGUGAAAUUGCAGGAUGCAGGUAUUUACUGCUGCUUGAUCAGCUAUGGCGGUGCCGACUACAAGCGGAUUACUGUGAAAGUCAAUGCUCCAUACCACAAAAUCAACCAAACAAUUUAUGUGGAUCCAGUCACCUCUGAACAUGAACUAACGUGUCAGGCUGAGGGCUACCCUGAGGCUGAAGUCAUCUGGACAAGCAGUGACCACCGAGUCCUGAAUGGCAAAACCACCAUCACCAGUUCCAAGAGGGAGGAAAAGCUUUUCAAUGUGACCAGCACACUAAGAAUCAACACAACAGCUAACGAGAUUUUCUACUGCAUUUUUCGGAGAUUAGGUCAUGAGGAAAACAGUACAGCUGAGUUGGUCAUCCCAGAACCAUAUCCAGAUCCAGCAAAAAAGAGGACUCACUUGGUGAUUCUGGGAGCUCUCCUGUUGUUCCUUAGUGUAACCCUGACAAUCAUCUUCUGUCUAAAAAGAGAUGGUAUUUCCUUUAUUGUAAUAGUCUCCAUUGGGGUUGAGGAGAAGUGUAUGAGAGUGCUACUGUUGUCACAAUGGCACUUAGUGGGCAGAGCCAGGGAGGCUAAAUCUCCUGUAAUCUGCAGGACAGUCCCAUGUAAAAGGGAGCUUUUCUACCCAAAAUGCUAGGGGUGCCCCCAGCAGGAAACAGUGAUUUAUCAAAUGGUUUCCUAUUAGCUUUCCCUUCCAGGGCCACCUUUCAGUUAUGCAAAGUAGGUUUUUAGUUACUGUUCUGCAGUAUCACUUUCAUUGAAGGGCAGCAGUGAACACUUGUAGUAACAUUUCCAAGGGGGUGAGAAUAGAUCAUGGCUGCAAGCAAACCUGCCUUGCCUCUGCAAGGUAGCACAAAGACACUCCACUGUUUGAUAGCAAUUAUAGUGAAGCUGUGCAGGAUUGCUGGGUGAAGAUCGUGAGAGAAAGGUUGUGUAUGGAGGUUGAAGAAGACGAAGUGUUAAACAAUUUCUUUCCGUCAUGCAAAUAACCACAGACUUACAGAAGAGAAAAAGCUAAAUGCCUGUUGGUUUCAGUUGAAUUUGUCUAGCAUUAGUUGCACUGUUAUAUUGAGCUGGUUUCUGGGACCUUUAAAUAAUAAAAAUAGUUCUUUAUGGAGAGCAGUGAUACUUUUACCAUAGAGUAGUUUGCAAGAUUUCUGGCUGAGGGUGUUAUAUAGAUUUCAAAAUAAUUUUAAUGUGUGUAUUUCUCUAUUUACCCAAGGGGGCAAUUAAAAUUCAGGAAAAGGUGGCUAUUCAAAUAAUUUCCUUUCAUUUUAAGAUGAUUCAGAGCGAACAUUUCCCCAGUACUUUGAGAAGUACACCAAAGGAUCUGAUGAUGAUCUGUGUAUAGAGUUAUCUGGUGACAAAUAAGGAAGUGGAAAAUGGAAGGGAAUUCCAAUAGUCGUUGAGAAAUUCCCUACAACCCCUUAAGAGGUGGGUGGAUCUGGGAAAGUGGUAUAAUUGAGGGAGUGGAGGUCAGCUUCUUCUAAUGAACAAGUACUUAACAGAACUGAGACAGCCAGAAUAUAAGGAUCGAGUUUCAGUGAUAGGAAGACCUGAGAUGGACUUGAUUUGUCCAAGGAAGUGGCUGUAGCCAACUUGCAUUUCCAUGUGAAAAAUAAUUAGUUGGCAUUAGAAAGGACUAGAAAAUGAGCAAAUAAUAAAGUAUCUCAGAAUAUGGUACAUCUCUGGAGGAAGAAAGGAAAAUAUAAGUAUACACUCCUGAAUAAAAUUUAGAAACAAAAGCAUGUGUCCUAAACUGUUGAAUUAAACCUCAGGGGUUGGGACUCCUGGAAUACGGAAGUCUACCAGAUUUCCUAAGGGAUUAAAAAUGUUUCAUAGGAACCUGGGAUUUAAACUUGAGUCACUGUGUGGGAUGUAGAGUUGUGUUAUAUGGAAAUAAAAACAACUUUUUUUUUCAAGUGAGAGUGAUGGAUGUGGAAAAAUGUGGCACCCAAGAUGUGAACUCAAAGCAGCAAAAUGAUACACAAUUUGAGGAGACGUAAUCCGACAUUGAAACUUCUGAUCAUAAAGCAGGGAUUCUCAGCCUGUCGUUUGAGUUCGUCAGGGCUAGGCAUGACCAGAGGCAUGCAAUGGGCCAGUGGGCUGCAGAUGAUGUAGAACUGAAAAGGCCCAAGCUCUGAAAAUGGAAGCUGGGAAAGAAGAGGAGAACAAAGGAAGAAGGAGUAAAAAAAGGUAGCCUUAGCCUGGAAGGAAACCUUGGUACUUCAAAAUGACUGGGAGACUCAUCAAUGCAUAUGAAAAGGAGAAAGGACACUUCUGAAUGAUAAAUAUCCAUGCAAAUUAUCCAUCACUCAUCCUAGGAAAACAGGUUGAGAUUCCCUGAUUUAAUGGUCAGUUCCUGCAGAAGUGCCCUUUGCCUUCACUCAGUGUUGAUUUGUCUUCUGGGUAAUUGUGAGUCCCAGUGUUG